rnacentral:lncRNA from 1 species
ACUGUGAGGCAGGAAAGACCCUAAAUCAAGAGCUGGUAGGCUAGGAUUCCAGUCUCAGCAAUAAAUUACAUCAACAAGCUAUGUGAUGAUGAGCAAGCUGACUUAAUCUCCCAGGCCUCCGUUUUCACAGAGAAAAAGAAUAUGAUGUGUGGGUCCCACCCAGCUCCCAAACACCAGGAUCUGGCGGCAUCUUGCUGAGGGUCGCCAUAACUGCAAACGUGGUGUUUAGAUAAAAAGUUACAAACUCCAUAAUGCUACUGAUAAACUUAACCAGUUCCUGUCCUUCCAUAAAUGCCUGGAGACACCACCAGCUUGGAAAGCAACACUCACUCCAACAGAGCAUGCUCAGCCGGGUGGUAGAAACGCAGGAGCUUGUGAGAAGAAUCCCAAGCCUGUGACAAUGUUCAAGGUAAAGCUACACGGCCCUGGUAGUGAAUCCUCCCUUGUUUCUGCCUCCUUCUGUAGGUAGGAAAGCACACGGCGGCUGGGGUGGGGGGGGCAGCAACCCAGCUAAACACUGCUGGGAUCCCACUGCCUGCAAGGGUUGAAGCCUGGUGCCUCUAUCCUUAUCUGGACUACUUCGGAAGAGAAGGGGAGGUGCCUUCUCGUCGUGGGCAUCACUACUCUUUCAAGGAAGGAAGUAUCUGAUGCUAGCUAGGGCGGGAGGCUUGUGGCUGAGCAUAGACACAACUCCUGUUGGUAAAAGAGAG